GCCUCACUUCUUCCUCUGCCCUUAGUCAGCAGGAAGUGUCUUCCUUUCACGUGCUUGCAGGGUGCUGCCUCCCCUCACCUGCCUCCCUGCUGUUGAGGUUCACCAGAGUCAUUCAGAUGACUCUCCUCUGUCCUCGCUGUCCCCUCCUCUGGUCUUCAUGGACUUAAACCCUCUCCCCAAGGUGUUCUGUGCUGACCGCUGGAAGGCUGUGGUUUCAACAAAGACUGUGGCCAGGGCCUGUGACGCAGGCCCUCGCAGCACAGCCCAGAAUAGCCUCGGCUUUGCUGCUUUUCCAGCUGCCCUAUCACUUUGCAGGCUGGAAUCUAAUUUGCUGUCCACCCUCUCCACCCCAGUCUCUCAGCCAGUGCUGCUUUCUUUGCCCAUAAAAUAUUUAUAAUCACAGAUUAUGUUUCCCUGUGAAUAUAAACUUGCUUUUGUUGUUUUUCCCCUUCUGUGCCCUUAAGAAUCUGCCCCUGACAGGCCAAAGGGCUUUAUUCUCUGGGUUCAUGGACUUCAUCACACUUUCUUUGCUGAAGUGGCUAGCUCCGCUCAUGAUCCUACUCCCUCUGCUAGAUAACUGCUGAAGAAAUGUGAGGAAAGAGCUCUAGGUUAGUUACUGUAGUCAGAGACCUGGGUUCCAGAUGGAACCCUGCUGCUAACUAGCCACAGCCUCUGGAGGAGUUGGGAGCUUAUUGCUUGAGGGCUUGGUGCUCAGGACCUCUGGCCAGUGGGUGUGACUCCUAAGGACCAGCCACAUUGAGGGAUGUGCUCUUGGCUGUUGAUGAGGUGAGGGGGACCUGACCAAAGCAUGUGCAGAGAGGCCUUGCCACCAUCGGCACUCCUGAAGCUAGUCAUCUCUGGCACAGAUGUCCAGUCCGCUUUCUGUGUGCCUUUGGGAAGUAGCACAGAAAGCAGGGAAAUUAAG
rnacentral:lncRNA from 1 species